rnacentral:rRNA from 1 species
UGGAUAACCUGCCGUAUGCAGGGGGAUAACAGUUGGAAACAGCUGCUAAUACCGCAUAAGCGCACAGUACCGCAUGGUACGGUGUGAAAAGAUUUAUCGGCAUACGAUGGAUCCGCGUCCGAUUAGCCAGUUGGCGGGGUAACGGCCCACCAAAGCGACGAUCGGUAGCCGGCCUGAGAGGGCGGACGGCCACAUUGGGACUGAGACACGGCCCAAACUCCUACGGGAGGCAGCAGUGGGGAAUAUUGCACAAUGGGGGAAACCCUGAUGCAGCGACGCCGCGUGAGUGAAGAAGUAUCUCGGUAUGUAAAGCUCUAUCAGCAGGGAAGAAAAUGACGGUACCUGACUAAGAAGCCCCGGCUAACUACGUGCCAGCAGCCGCGGUAAUACGUAGGGGGCAAGCGUUAUCCGGAUUUACUGGGUGUAAAGGGAGCGUAGACGGCGCUGCAAGUCCGGAGUGAAAGCCCAUGGCUUAACCAUGGUACUGCUCUGGAAACUGUGGAGCUUGAGUGCGGGAGGGGCAGGCGGAAUUCUUAGUGUAGCGGUGAAAUGCGUAGAUAUUAGGAGGAACACCGGCGGCGAAGGCGGCCUGCUGGACCGUAACUGACGUUGAGGCUCGAAAGCGUGGGGAGCAAACAGGAUUAGAUACCCUGGUAGUCCACGCCGUAAACGAUGAUUACCAGGUGU